rnacentral:rRNA from 1 species
CCUACGGGAGGCAGCAGUGGGGAAUUUUGGACAAUGGGGGCAACCCCUGAUCCAGCCAUUCCGCGUGAGUGAAGAAGGCCUUCGGGUUGUAAAGCUCUUUCGCAAGGGAAGAAAACUUAUGAUCGAAUAAAUCAUGAGGUUGACGGUACCUUGAUAAGAAGCACCGGCUAACUACGUGCCAGCAGCCGCGGUAAUACGUAGGGUGCGAGCGUUAAUCGGAAUUACUGGGCGUAAAGCGUGCGCAGGCGGUUUUGUAAGUCGGAUGUGAAAUCCCCGGGCUCAACCUGGGAACUGCGUUCGAAACUGCAAGGCUAGAGUGUGUCAGAGGGGGGCAGAAUUCCACGUGUAGCAGUGAAAUGCGUAGAGAUGUGGAGGAAUACCAAUGGCGAAGGCAGCCCCCUGGGAUAACACUGACGCUCAUGCACGAAAGCGUGGGGAGCAAACAGGAUUAGAUACCCUGGUAGUCCACGCCCUAAACCGAUGUCAACUAGUUGUUGGUAGAGUAAAAUCUAUGAGUAACGUAGCUAACGCGUGAGUUGACCGCCUGGGGAGUACGGUCGCAAGAUUAAAACGUUCAAAGAGUUAGUAGG